AAUCAUGUAGAGAUAAAGAGAGAGGUACAGCUUCAGACUGUGAGAGUGCUAGAACGAUCCAGAGAUAGAGAGGGAGAUAAACUGAGACUACAAUCUGAUCCGUCAUCGCUGCAGGCAGAAAAAGAAAGGCGAAGACGAUUGUUCAUCUUCCCGUGAUUUGAGACAUCUGGUCUCUAUCGAAGUUUAAACAUGCACUGACAUUCAAAGGAGGAGACAACGAAUCAAUUUGUGUGUUGUCUUGGAAAAGAAUAUAUAGGGGUGCAGUUCAUAAUGGCUCUAAUUGGUGUGAUUCAGCUGUGAGUUUUUGGCUUUUUUCUAUGGAUGACAGGUA